GUGAUGAGCCGCCAGUGUCCAAGAGGUGCCGAGCUCACCCUUUGCUGA
rnacentral:snoRNA from 1 species